AAUGGGUUGCAGCCUGCUGGGCCAGGGAGUAAUGAGAGGGCUAACUUUCUGUUGAGGUGGUGCAGCAGCCCAAAGCCUAAACUGUGAUUCAGUGAGUUACUAGACAGGUAAUAGACCCACAUACGGCCCACAGAGCCACAGCAAGCUUUCGGAUUGAAACAAAGUUUCUAAUGUUUUAACUGAGUUUCCUAAGGUGGACUGUGUUUAUGAACAAUCAAGCAAACCCCAUCUGUGUUGCUGUUGUCCCUGUCUUUCCUCCAUAACCUGUUCUGUCAGCAUCAGCCAUGCUCCUGAAAACAGACACUUCAGGGAAAAUUAACUGGACACACUCACCUGAGAACUUGGUCCUCUUCUCAAGAAGUAAUUCACCGGAUGCUUGAUUCAAUGUUUAUUUUGUUAUAGCUUCUUUGUAUUUGACCACCAAUUACACCC
ensembl:lncRNA